rnacentral:rRNA from 1 species
AUGCAAGUCGAGCGCGCCUUAGGGCGAGCGGCGGACGGGUUAGUAACGCGUGGGAACGUGCCCAGAUCUACGGAAUAGCCACUGGAAACGGUGAGUAAUACCGUAUACGCCCUUCGGGGGAAAGAUUUAUCGGAUUUGGAUCGGCCCGCGUUAGAUUAGGUAGUUGGUGGGGUAACGGCCUACCAAGCCUACGAUCUAUAGCUGGUUUAAGAGGAUGAUCAGCAACACUGGGACUGAGACACGGCCCAGACUCCUACGGGAGGCAGCAGUGGGGAAUCUUGGACAAUGGGGGCAACCCUGAUCCAGCCAUGCCGCGUGAGUGAAGAAGGCCCUAGGGUCGUAAAACUCUUUCGCCUGUGAUGAUAAUGACAGUAGCAGGUAAAGAAACCCCGGCUAACUCCGUGCCAGCAGCCGCGGUAAUACGGAGGGGGUUAGCGUUGUUCGGAAUUACUGGGCGUAAAGCGCACGUAGGCGGAUUAGAAAGUUAGAGGUGAAAUCCCGGGGCUCAACCCCGGAACUGCCUUUAAAACUACUAGUCUAGAGUUCGAGAGAGGUGAGUGGAAUUCCGAGUGUAGAGGUGAAAUUCGUAGAUAUUCGGAGGAACACCAGUGGCGAAGGCGGCUCACUGGCUCGAUACUGACGCUGAGGUGCGAAAGUGUGGGGAGCAAACAGGAUUAGAUACCCUGGUAGUCCACACCGUAAACGAUGAAUGCCAGUCGUCGGAUAGUAUACUAUUCGGUGACACACCUAACGGA